GUGCCCAAUAAGAUAAGUUAUUUAUUAGUUGACAAAAAACAAAACCCCAAUAAUCUGACAUUUCCCUCUGAGCAAGCACUCGGCGACAGUGGGGAGGAAAAACUUUCUUUUAAAAGCAAGAAACCUCCGACAGAACCAGGCUCAGUGAGGGACGGCCAUCUGCCUCGGCCGGUCCUGGAGUUUUUAAAAUGACUUGUUAGCCAAUUUAAAGAGUUUGAUGUCAACUAAUACACUUAAACUGUCCUAAUAAUUUUAAACAAAUAUUUACAGGCAAUCCUGAUGGAUUGCUUACAGAACAUUCAUUUUGUUUUGUCUGUGUGCGAACCCCGUAGCUCGACCCACAUAGGAAAAGAAGCUUCUGAUGAAACUCCAAUAUAGUUACGCAUGCUCUUUGAAGACCUUAAUAAUGAGCCCAUGAACGAAUCAGUGGUCUAAUGACAUGGAUGUCAGAAUAUCAUCUGGGUCUUUCCAUCUCUUUAUGAGAAACUUGUAGACCACGUUACUGAGGAAUGUCCCUUUUUCGGCAGGGAUUUGAACAUUUUUCAAUUGAGGCCAGACUUUGCUGAACAGCCAUUUGGCGAUGGCAUCAGCUUCUUCAGAAGAGCAGGGUGAGUCGGCAUUUUCGACGAUACGCUUCACCAAGUCCUCCAUACAGAUUUUCAGAGAAGACCUGUUUUGAACAUUUGACUCAAUCAAAUGCUUUUUAAUUAUCUGGAUCGUCCGUUUUUGCACUACCGGGUCCUUGUCAUUCAAUAACAUUAUCAAAUGUUCGUCUUUACAGAAUGUUUUGUCGCGGAGCUCUUGGUAAAUGGCCUCAUCAAGACCUUUUAACUUAUUUUUGUCUAUAUAGAGGUCUUUGACGCGGUCAUCAGACAUCACGUUGUCAAAGAGUCGCUUGUGCAGUUUGACUGAAGGUUUGUAGUGGGACAUGUUUGCGUGUGAGAGCACAUCAUGAAUAAGUGUGCUCACACACUCUUUAACCUCAUCAUCAUAAGAGGUCCUGCUACCACCAGAUUGGGAUUUUUCCUUCGAUAUAUUAUCCUCAAACUCUUGUGAAAGUGUUUGGGAGAUUUUUUUAGUUUCUGGUGUUUGGUCUCCAUCGUCUUCAGUUUUUCUAAACCAUGCAAAUAGCCUUGUUAGUAGGUUUCGCUUCUUUUGGAGGAGGUGAUCUUUGAAUAUAGAAAUUACCAUUUCUUGGUGCCGCGGAGCUACUGCUAGCGCAAUUAUUACAAGAUUUGGUGGAAUUCUUACCUGCUUCUGAAUAUCUUUGAAAAUGGCUUUUUCCAGACUUUUCACUGUAUGUCGUUUGAUGUUAAUAGCUUUUCCCUUAAUUUUCGCCCACAGAGAUAUGAAUAGUCGCUGCUGAAUCUCAUCAGACGGCGGCACCUUUGCCUUUCUUGAGGCGCGUACAAUCACAGCGUUUAUGAGCUCGUUAACGAGCCGCUGUUGUUCCAACAGUAGUUCCACAGUCACAUCACCAGGCGCCUGAUUGGUGUUUUCAACUGGGCUCCCUGUUUCCAGUGCACGCCACUGUUCUUCUGUUUUUUUCUGUUUUGUUUUGGAUUUUAUAGUUUCCCUACAUUCACUCAGAUGAUUCAUGUCUGUUUUUGUAUUGAUGUUUCCUGUUAGCUGAUGCGCUCGGCUGUGAAACAUU
ensembl:lncRNA